rnacentral:rRNA from 1 species
CUGCUGUUGCGUGGAAACAGGUCACGAAAAGAUMUCCAUUUUYGUUGACACUGUGCACGCACUGCGAUGCAGUUGAACAAAAUAGAUUUGUUUGCCCCGUCUAGAAACACGGACCAAGGAGUCUAACAUAUGUGCGAGUACUGCGGUUGCAUACCUCGGUGCAAAAUGAAAGUGUUAGAGGCUGGAAUGCAUUUGUAGCAUUUGCACAGUCCGCCGGCCUCAAUCCCUCGGGAGAAUGGUCUGAGUGUGAGCAUACAUGUUGGGACCCGAAAGAUGGUGAACUAUGCUUGAGUAGGGUGAAGCCAGGGGAAACUUUGGUGAAGGCUCGCAGCGAUUCUGACGUGCAAAUCGAUCGUCAAACUUGAGUAUAGGGGCGAAAGACUAAUCGAACUAUCUAGUAGCUG